GCGGCAGGCCUAACACAUGCAAGUCGAGGGGCAGCACAUAGAGGAGUUUACUCUUCUUUGGUGGCGACCGGCGGACGGGUGCGUAACGCGUAUGCAACCUACCUUUUACAGGGGGAUAACACUGGGAAACUGGUACUAAUACCCCAUAACAUCGAUCAAGGCAUCUUGAUUGGUUAAAAACUCCGGUGGUAAAAGAUGGGCAUGCGUUGUAUUAGGUAGUUGGUGAGGUAAUGGCUCACCAAGCCUACGAUACAUAGGGGGACUGAGAGGUUAGCCCCCCACACUGGUACUGAGACACGGACCAGACUCCUACGGGAGGCAGCAGUGAGGAAUAUUGGUCAAUGGACGCAAGUCUGAACCAGCCAUGCCGCGUGCAGGAAGACGGCUCUAUGAGUUGUAAACUGCUUUUAUAUAGGGAUAAAGUUGGGUACGUGUACCCAUUUGCAGGUACUAUAUGAAUAAGGACCGGCUAACUCCGUGCCAGCAGCCGCGGUAAUACGGAGGGUCCAAGCGUUAUCCGGAUUUAUUGGGUUUAAAGGGUGCGUAGGCGGCACAGUAAGUUAGCGGUGAAAUCUCGGGGCUCAACCCUGAAACUGCCGUUAAAACUGCUGAGCUAGAGAUUAGAUGCUGUGGGCGGAAUGGAUAGUGUAGCGGUGAAAUGCUUAGAGAUUACACAGAACACCGAUUGCGAAGGCAGCUCACAAAUCUACUUC
rnacentral:rRNA from 1 species